AACGAACGCUGGCGGCGCGCCUAAUACAUGCAAGUCGAGCGAGAAGACGUAGCAAUACGUUUGUAAAGCGGCGAACGGGUGAGGAACACAUGGGUAACCUACCCUAGAGUGGGGAAUAACUAGCCGAAAGGUUAGCUAAUACCGCGUACGCUCCUUGGACUUCGGUACAGGGAGGAAAGCGAUACCGUGGGUAUCGCGCUCUUGGAUGGGCUCAUGUCCUAUCAGCUUGUUGGUGAGGAACGGCUCACCAAGGCUUCGACGGGUAGCUGGUCUGAGAGGACGAUCAGCCACACUGGCACUGCGACACGGGCCAGACUCCUACGGGAGCAGCAGUAAGGAAUAUUGCGCAAAUGGGCGAAAGCCUGACGCAGCGACGCCGCGUGGGGGAUGAAGGUCUU
rnacentral:rRNA from 1 species